UUUGUCCAGUAUGAGAGAUUUAAUUAAAAGAACCACCUACCUUUUUUUCCUUCUUUGCUGUUUUCAUUCCCAAUUUAUUCCUACUUUCAAUCGCUGAGCCAACUCCCGCAACAAAACACACAUCACCAGUGACAAUACGUAAGAGUAAAAUUUGUGUUUGUAAAUCAUGAAAAUUCAACCAAUUAUAUCUAAAUCCCAGUGGUUCCUAGUUAAUCAAUGAAUUACCUUAGAAAGAUAUGAAGGCGCAAACACUUUCUUAUCAGUUUUAUCUCAAACCCCAACGUUUUAUCGCGAAAUAAACAGUUGAAACUAAAUUUACAGAAAGCAUAGUGAAAAUUUAUUAAAAAGUUGUAACAUAGACGUGUAACAUACCCCGAUCUUUCUGAAGAAACCGGUUGAUUAACCAAGAACCAGAUUUGGUUAAUCUUAAUAAUUUACACACGCAAAUUUUACUUCUACACAUUACCACAGACGGUAAAAUGUCUUUCUUGCAGGAAUAGGUGCUGUCUACAACACUGUCGAUUGAAGAUAGGAAUGAAGCGGGGACAAAACAAAGAAGACGAAUAGAAGGUGAAGAAAAGACUCAAACAAAAAAGACAAGUUUAAUGCCAACUCCCAAAAACAACCCUACACAACACAAAGGUCUCCUUACUCCAGAAAGGUCAAAGUCUUCAGGAUUAAACUGAACCUUUAGAUCUUCAUCAUGGUACCUUAAAACUCUGCCCACUUUGUCACCUAUCUAUAAAAAAUGCUUUAAUAUUA